UGGGGAAUAUUGGACAAUGGGCGCAAGCCUGAUCCAGCCAUGCCGCGUGAGUGACGAAGGCCUUAGGGUUGUAAAGCUCUUUUGGCGGGGAAGAUAAUGACGGUACCCGCAGAAUAAGCUCCGGCUAACUUCGUGCCAGCAGCCGCGGUAAUACGAAGGGAGCUAGCGUUGUUCGGAAUCACUGGGCGUAAAGCGCACGUAGGCGGAUGUGUCAGUCAGGGGUGAAAUCCCGGAGCUCAACUUCGGAACUGCCCUUGAUACAGCACGUCUUGAGUCCGAUAGAGGUGGGUGGAAUUCCUAGUGUAGAGGUGAAAUUCGUAGAUAUUAGGAAGAACACCGGUGGCGAAGGCGGCCCACUGGAUCGGGUACUGACGCUGAGGUGCGAAAGCGUGGGGAGCAAACAGGAUUAGAUACCCGAGUAGUCCCUGAGCGGGCUGGCAAGGCGCAU
rnacentral:rRNA from 1 species